rnacentral:lncRNA from 1 species
UGACUUUGAACUUGCGAUCCUCCUGCCUCAGUCUCCUGAAUCACUAGCGCCACCACUCCUGGCUCGGCUCUUUCCUGCUUUAUUGUUUUUUGUUUGUUUGUUUGUUUUUGUUUUUGUUUUUGGUAAUGGGGUUUGUACUCAGGGGCACUUGACUACUGAGUCACAUCCACAGCCCUAUUUUGUAUUUAGAGACAGGGUCUCACGGAGUUGCUCAGUGCCUUGCUUUUGCUGAGGCUGGCUUUGAACCCACGAUCCUCCUGCCUCAGCCUCCUGAGCCACUGAUUACAGGCCUCUGUGCCUGGCCUCUUGCUUUCUUUUUAAGUGGGGUCUGACUACAAAGCCGACUUCCAGUUAGGCUUGCUUGGUGUGUGGCACUGCUGUACCUACUGGCCACUUGUUUUAUUCUGGUGUGAGCUGGAGACUGUGGGCCUGUUUUUUCCUCCUCUGUGGUUGCCCCGAGAGAAAUCCAUCCUGGGAGUAAACAGGAGAGGAGCAGACGGACUCUCACCCGGGUGAGCUCGAGAAGGCCACUGGACCCCUGCUGUCCUCCUUGGAGCAGCCGCCAGCGGCCUGGGGCGUGCCAGGCUCCCGACUCUCUUCCCAUUGUCCACUCUCAUUUGCAGGCCAUCCUGAUCACCUGGACGAAGCGGUUUAAAGCCAGUGGCGUGGAAGGGGCAGAUGUCGUCAAGCUGCUGAACAAAGCCAUCAAAAAGCGAGGGGUAAUUUCUCUCAGGCUGCACAGAGGGGAGGAGUGGAGCCGGGUCUUAAAGCAGACUAAAACCCUCUCUUGGGGGCUGUAGUGCCUGAACCCGAGCAGGGCCAGGUGUGGGCCCAGGAGUGUUUAGAGCCAGACUCUCAAAGAUACCAGGGCUGGGGCCAGGAGAUCACCUCCCAAGGGGAGUGUGGGCUGAGGGAGCCACAGACUAGCCUGCGGGCUGGAGCAGAGACCGAGGAGCUGACCUUCUCGUGGGCACGGGAUCUCCUGCUUCCUGCAGUGGUUUGUGGAAGAACGUGACUCCGUGAGUAAAAUCCACUCCCCAAAGGAUCCUAAGCCAGAUAAUUAAGGGGACCGUGCAGUUUCCGUAAGGUAAUCACAGUUCUCUAAUCCAAUUAGUUUGAGUCCUGGCAGCAACGAAGCCAGCACCACCCCCCAGAGCUGGGGAGAUUCUGAGAACCGGUGUGCUCUUGCCAAGCUCUCUGGGGUGGGUGAUCCCUGCACCCAUGUGGGUGUGGACACCAACACCCCGCUAUCCUCCCCAGGACUAUGACGCGAACAUUGUGGCUGUGGUGAACGACACGGUGGGGACCAUGAUGACCUGUGGCUAUGACGACCAGCAGUGUGAAGUCGGCCUGAUCAUUGGUAACAAGCCCCGGUUGCUCAGCCCAGCUUUUAGCUGAUGAUUUGAGGCUCCGCCUUCUGGCUACCAUGUGACUGCAGCUCCCACGUUGUCUCCCAGGCACGGGCACCAACGCUUGCUACAUGGAGGAACUGAGGCACAUUGAUCUGGUGGAAGGAGACGAGGGGAGGAUGUGCAUCAACACUGAAUGGGGAGCCUUUGGGGACGAUGGAUCACUGGAAGACAUCCGGACCGAAUUUGACAGAGAGUUAGACCGAGGGUCCCUCAACCCUGGAAAACAGCUGUGAGUUUUUGACAUUCUCCCCUAGCUCCCUACAUGAUCUCGGGGGACACUUAACAAAACCCCGGGGGUGGGGUGGAAGCUGGAAGGGUGCAAAGCCAGGUGAUCCCAGAUGCAAAAGCCCAUCAGAUGUGCAUGAUUUUUGGCUCCUCAUUUGGACAGAGGCGCAGCUGUGGAGUCAGUAGCUUUCAAAGCAGUUCUUAGAUAUUAUUCUCUUUGUUUAAUUACAUGAUAAUUGUGUCCUUGUGAAACAUUUUGAAAAUUAAAAGCACAGAAGCAUCAGUAUAAAGAUACGGUUGAAAGACAUUCCUACAUGCUGUAGUUGCUGGUCUGCUGCUCAGGAGGAGGGGACCUCAUCAUACGUGGGGCCUCAGUCGAGCAAGGGAGAGGGAGCGUGCAUUUGUCAAUAUUGUCAGCACAUAUUCACGGAGCACUUUGUGCUGAGCUCUGUGCUAGACUCCAGGGCUCCAAAACAGUGCCUUCCCUCCCAGGACUUACCAUCCCUAUGGGAAGAUGGGUCACAUCGAGCUACACAAGUCACACAGACCUUAGGAGAAACCCGUGUCAAGCACAGGAGGGAGGAUCAGAGUCCAUACAGCAUCCAACUUACAGGCGGGUGGAUUUUGGCCUGGCGAGUUCCUGGCAUCAUUCAGGCUAGAGUGGAUGUCGCUUUCUCUGAGCCACUUUUUUCCUGAAGUGCAUGCGCACAUUUCUCUGUGAUGCAAGCAGGCUGCCAGCCCUCUUGAGUUAGCCCAGCCUCUGGCAGCCUUGUCCUGGGCUUGGGUUCUGUCAGCCUGCAGAGAGGCGCGCGCAGACCCUGUACACCUGACGGCCCUCACCCUGAUGCCAGACAGAAACAGGGGUUGACUGAAACCCGUCAUCUGACAGAUCUCCAUGCGCCCAGCUAAACAAUUGGUCUUUCCACCCGAAUUAAUGGAAUUGCAUAAUCAUGGGUGGCAGCCCUCCCCCCACCGUGGGGGAGGGGGAGUGGAGGAACCAGGUUCUCAAUGAGAGGCUGUCCAGAUUCUUAGACCCAGAGAUGAGCUUCUGCUUUGCAGGUACCAGCUUGGGGAUAAGGGACUCUAGUUCCAAAGCUAUGACAGGAACAAUUUUGGGGGGUUCCCUCCCCAACCAUGAACCUGACUCCUAGUCCUAAAACCUGAUCCCAGCUAACAUGAAGUUAUUGCCAGUGCCUGUGGACGCUUCACCAAAGAGCCUGGAUGUGCUUGAUUACAGGGUGCCUUGGGCACCUCUGAGUGGUCUGUGACAUACGGCAUCUGCAUCCUGUUGUAUCCCUAAUGUCCCCCAAUCUCCACAGUCUCAAUCACAUGUGACCUCAGGGGCUUCAGAUAAGGGGUUAUGUGCUGUAGCUUCUAUCAGCCACUUACUCAGAUGUCUCCCUUCUCAGCAGUGUGGACAGGCAGGUCACUGUGGUUGCUGAGCAGACGUGAUCUAGGCCCUUGUCUGUAUCCUUAGCCCAGUGUGGGAACCCUGCCUGGCUUGCAUAUGUAAACCUGGAUUUCGCUGCCAUAUGGGUUUUUUUUUUUUUGGUACUGGAGAUUGAACCUGGGAGCACUUAACCACUGAGCCACAUCUCCACCUCUUUUUUGUAUUUUAUUUAGAGACAGGGUCUCACUUAGUUGCUGAGGCUGGCUCUCGAUCCUCCUGCCUCAGCCUCCUGAGCCACUGGGAUGACAGGCGUGUGUGACUGUGCCCGCCUCCCUUCUUUUAUCUUCAACCCUCUCCUUCCCUCCAGAUUCCUUGGGUUUCUUGUUCUGUUGUCUGUGUUGCCUCUGGAAUCCCCAAUUCCAUCUCCCUCUGAUUCCUUAUUGUCUCCUUCAGGGUGCGAGGAGAGCCUUUGCCCCACACAGCAGCCAGCGCCUUGGCCACAGCGGCCGACUCUGGAGAGGGAGCCCUGUGGCCUGGGUGGUGGUGGAAUAACUGCACAGGUUCCCGGCCCCACGCCCUCUUUUUCUUCUUGUUCUGCCCCAGCCAUAGAAUCUCUACCUGGCCAUGGGCCUCUCCCUCCUUUUCCUUCCCCAGGCUGACUGCUGGGGCCAGUUGCUGUGCACGUCCUCGCUCCUGACCCCGACCCCAUCUCAGCCCUGCCUGGGCCCACCAGCAGGCAUGGUGCUGCUCCUCGAUGCUGGGCCCUGGCCAUCAGGGUCUGAGUGCUGAGAGGCAGAUUUCAUGUGGGCAGAAGGGACGCACGGCCGGGGAGAGCCACUGGCUCCACCAGCCUUUGGCUUGUGCAGAGAGGGGCUCUUGGGAGGUGCCAUGAUUUGUUCUGUUGCUUCACAGCUUUCUAAAGACUGAGAAAGGACAGACCUGGCCCUGGCUCCAUCUGGAAUAGGGUUAUCAGUGCUGCAUUUGUGAAGGACCAUUGGGUGGGACAGGAGCAGAUCAUUGUGGGUGUCUCCAGAAGGCAGAGGAAGAAGUGGUGAUGGGGUGCCAGCAGCCGGACAUUAGCUCAUCCUGACGGGGAAACUUCUCCUUUUGUCACACUGCCCAGUGGUGGACGGGCUACCUAGGAAGUGACUGGAGGAAGACAAGCAGAAGCUGGAUGAGGGAUGAGGCUAGGUAGCCCUGCCGUGACAGUAGUAGCUAACAUUGAACGGCACUGUCCAUGAGACAGAUAGACAGACUGCACAGGGUUAGAGCAGAGUUUCUGGUGUUCCGUUUAGCUGGGUUCAACAUAUGGGUUUGCCACUGUUAGCUCUGUCCAUGGGCGAGAUUUAUAACCUUUGCUUCUCAGUUUUUCCAUCUGUGAAGUGGGUAUAAUGCCAAUGUCUACUUUGUAGAAUGGUAAUGAGGAUAAAAUAAGUUAAAAUAUUUAAAGAGCUGAGAAAAGUACCAGAAACAUAGGAAGGUCAUAAGAAUUCAUUGUUGGACACCAUAGUAUUUAACCUAUAUUAACCCACAUCCUCUGUAUAAUCUGGUAAGAGGCCCUGUUAUUGUCCCCGUUACAAAAGCGAGGAGACUGAGGUCCAGAGACGUGAGGAGCCCAGUGAGGACCCCAGUGGAAACGGAGGCAGGGCUGAGCCUGGGUAGUCAGGCUCUGCCUGGCUCCUUCCAGCUUGGUCCUCCACAGGGGCUGGUUCCCAUAGGUGCCUGGGGUGGCAGCUGGGCAGCUAGGACCCAGAAGGAUGCUCCUUCCAGGGCGGUGGCUGGGCGGUCCUGUCUGGUCCUGCAGGAGCAGAAACAAUGGGGACUCUGUCUCUGAAGAGGCUCUGAGCUUGCUGACAGACUGCUGCAUGCUCAGGUCCUAACAGCAUCUGGGCUUCCAGGCCCGGCUCUGACUGGAACAGAUUGUUUUGCUGUGUCACUAUCAGCUCUGGGGAUGCCAGCCCUGAGAGGGGAGGCCGCGCUCUCACGGGGGCCUGCCUCUUUGAUCCGCCCUCCUCAGGGUUUCCUCCUGGCCCCUGGUCAGCCAGGAUCGGGGCUGAAUCUGGCUCAGAUACAACAUGGAGCCCCUGUUCCCUGGUUCUGGCCUGGGCCUGUCUCAGUUGUGUGUUGGCCUCAGUCUUAGGCUCCCUGCAGCGCUGAGCAGGGGGGAGAGGCUGCUGCAAUAACCGGGCUGCACCUCACGCCCCCCCCAGGAGAGGGAGUGGCUCGCUUGAUUCAGCUGGAGCAGGACAUUGAGCUCACUGGCUUUCAGCCUCUCAGACCCCAUCCCUGCAGCUAAGGGUGAAGUCUGUUGGGGCAGUUGGGGGUGACUUUCUCUAAGCGCAGAGGGUACCAAGAAGGUGAUCUGCAAAUGUCCCAGCAGCAGCCCAAUGAGGAGAAUGCUUCCUUGACACCCCCUUCCCACAGGAGGGCCCCUGAUAGAGGGAUGGAAGUCAAAGCCCUCUAAAAAGCACAGCAGGCCUGGGUGUGGUGGCACACCGUAAUCCCAGUGGCUGGGGUGGAGGGGAUGAGGCAGGAGGAUUGUGAGUUCAAAGCCAGCCUCAGCAACUUAGUGAGGCCUUAAGCAACUCAGCAAGACCCUGUCUCUAAAUAAAAAAAAUAUAAAGGGCUGGGGAUGUGGCUCAGUGAUUAAGUGCCCCUGAGUUCAAUGCCCAGUAUCAAAAAAUUAAAAAUAAAAAGCAUAGCAAGCCUGGCACAGGCCUAUAAUCUCAGGGAUAAUCUCUAGGGUGGCUGAGGCAGGAGGAUCACAAGUUUGAGGUCAUCUUCAGACACUUAGUGAGAUGCUGUCUCAAAAUGAAAAAUAGAAAGGUCUGGGCGUAUGGCUCCGUGGCAGCGCACUCCUGCAUUCAUCCCCAGUACCUCAAAACAAAGCAACAGAACACGGCUGACAGUUUGUGAGGGAUGAUCGAAGUCCACCCGCUUGUCUUGGGGCCUUCUCAUUUGUCAUUGCCAAUCUACGUCCUAGCAUUCCCCUGCCUCCAAGCUGCCUUCCCCGCCUCCUCCUGCACGUCUCUUCUCCCUGGCACAGGCAUGGGGGUGACUUGCCCCUUCUGGAGUCUUCGUCCUGGUCCCCUCUUUGUUGAAUCACACGAGCGAGCGUGGUUUUGCCUCCCAAGGAGACUGGGAGCUUGUGAGUGGUGACACUCCUUUUGUGUCUGUCCCCUUCCUCACGUGCUGCCCCAGGGUUGGGUGUGGAGGAAGGACUGACAGGUGCCCAUGUGCUCUCUCCUGCAGGUUUGAGAAGAUGGUCAGUGGCAUGUACUUGGGGGAGCUGGUCCGACUGAUUCUGGUCAAGAUGGCCAAGGAGGGCCUCUUGUUUGAAGGGCGGAUCACCCCGGAGCUGCUCACCAGGGGCAAGUUUAACACCAGUGACGUGUCCGCCAUCGAAAAGUAGGUGCUACGCGGAGGCUUUCUGGGGAUAGAGGGGACAGAGAAGGGAGAUAGGGCCCUUCCAAUCCUGGCCGGUCCAUGAUUAAAGAAGCACCUAGUUAGCAGCCAAUGCUUCCUGGGGGGUUUUCCCUUCCAGUUAGGAAAGCGACCCCCCCCACCCCGCCUCCCCCUUCUCUCCUCUCCCUCUCACAUAUGUGCAGCCUCAAGGCAAGAUUAUUGCUGAGGAAGCUCCUGACUCCACUCCUAGUGUUGAGUGACAGUUGACCAAGCCCAGGCCUGGGUUCUUGGAGCUCCCUGUAGAUAUGUCCUGACCUCCUUCAGACUGUGUUCCAGGGAACCCUAGAGACCUCAAGAUGAUAAUUGGAUGAUUCCAGGGCCAGUAGGUUUGAGAAAUAUAGUACAAUUUAUCCUCCUUUUAGAGAUUUACAAUAUUUAUUAGCCUGUUUAAAAAAAAAAGAAGAACCUAGUUCCCUUUGGUGAACUCAUUCAUUUAGUUAGCUUUCCAUCACUGUGACCAAAACAUCUGACAAGAACAACUCAGAGGAGGGAAAGUUUAUUCGGGGCUCAUGGUUUGGGGUCUCGUCCACAGACAGCCGACUCUGGGCUCAAGUGAGGCAGCACGUCCCGGGGAGGGUCCCGGGAGGGGCCCAGCAGAGGAAAGCCACCCAGCUCGUGGUGGGGUCAGGAAACAGAGAAAUGGGGGGAGAGAGACAGAGAGAAGGGGCCUCAGGGAAGGUGCACCCUUUCAGGGGCGCCCCCAGUGACCCGCCUUCUGUAGCCACGCCCCACCUCCUGCAGUUACCACCCACUCAGUCCAGUGAAACUCAGGUGGACAGAUCAGAUUACAGCUCCAUGAUGAAUCGUUUUACCUCUGAAUAUUCCUGCAUUAACAGGAGCUCUGGUGGGACACCGCCUAUCUCAGCCAUAAUACUCAUUAUUUCCUAAACUUCUUUUGUGCCUCAAUCCCUCCCCACCCCCACACAUAUUCAGGGAACAUCUGUUAACAGCCAGAAAUGUGCCCUGAAACAAGUUUGCGAAACAGUCGAUUAACAGAUGAGAUUGGGUAGUUUGACAAGGGACAACCUGACCGCUGGCCUUUGGCAUCCCCAAAGAAACCCAGAGUCCAGUGUCUUCACUCUUAGUCCCGGCCUUCACUCUGAGAGGGACGUAGGUAGGCUUGAUCCCAGUGCUCUUGUGGCUGGCUUCCGUGUGCCCCUAGGUUCAGGAGGUGCCACGUGGCUUCCUGGGGCCACUUACAUAAAGACGAGGCCAGCGUGCCGCCAUCCUCAGUGCCAGGAGUGCUGGUGCGUCCCCACAAGGAAGGAGUCAUUUUCCCCGCCCACUGUGUGGUCCUGGGAACUCUCAUGCACAUCGGCUUCUGUGUGGUUGGAGCAGAAGCAGGUUUUCUGGGCAUUAGUAAAUCUGUGCCCUGGAAUUUGUCCUAGUGUUGUUCUCCUUCAGGAGCCGUUAGUGCAGGGGUACACCAGGCAGGGAACCCUGCUCCUGAGUUUCCAACCAUCUCUCUUUGCAAGUCUCUUGGGUGCCUGAGAACGGAGGGGACUGGGGGAGGGUCCAGUAGGAGCAGGGCAGCGGCUUGACUUAGUCCUGUGUGAAGUCAGGAAAUACCUGCCUUCUUCUUGGUCUGCUUCUGCUCUUGGCUCUUUACUUAGCAAGGAUCAUAAAAUGCACUUGACCUAGCCCCAGAAAGCAUGUCUACAUUUUAAUGAAGGCUUUCUCCACAAAACACCCUAUAAGCAGGGAUGUUAGAUGCUUUCUUUCGAAAAAUCAAUACAAUGUCACUAGUUCCGACUCACCAUUGGGCUGGAGUUAAGACUCCAACUGAAAAGCAUUUUUAAAAGAAGUUAAAGCCUUAAGAAUCAAAACAGGAAUAAAAUUGUCAUCAUUUGCCAAUGAUAAAUGUCUUUGUGGAGAAUUCUCCCCCAAAGUCUGUAGGGAAGUGAAUAAUAUCUGGAGAUAAUAUUAGAAAAGUCCAUUAUGUUUGUCUAUUUACAAUAAUUAAAAUGUGUCUAUAUGUUUUUGAAAUAAACUUCUCAUUUUGGAAUAACUUUAGAUUUGGGGAAAAUCUACAAAUGUAGCACCAGGGCUCCUUCCUGCACAUUCCUGUUGUUAACCUGUUAGAUCACUGUGUCGUUAAAGGGCGGUGUACGAGUGUGUCAUUUUCAGAGACCAGGUACAAUAACAGCAAAACUGUAAAGUCCCUCUGAAUGAAUCUCACAAAAACUACACAAGACAUGCACGUGGGAGAUUAAAAUUUUGACAGAAAAACCCCAGGAAGGCGCAGCUCACAGACCCCAUGAGCAGCCUUGUCCCCCAGGCCUCCCCUGGUCCUGGGCUUGGGCAGAAGCAGCUGUGGCCCUCCCUGCUCAGCGGCCAUCUCAGCUGUGCUCCCCUCCACGCCUGGCCCACCAGAACCCAGCCGAACAGUUGUCCCUGCCACCAGCAGGUGUGUGUUGGGGAGGCGCUCCCUCCCUGGGCUCUUUGAGGCGUUGGACCUCCCGGUCCCGCCUCUGCACACCCGGUGAGUCGGGGUCAGCCUGGAGUCCCCGUGCUCUGCGCUGCCUGGCUGGUCCCUCACUCACAAGCUCUGGGCUCCAACCUCACAGGAAUAAGGAAGGCCUCCACAAUGCCAAAGAAAUCCUCACCCGCCUGGGAGUGGAGCCAUCUGACGACGACUGUGUCUCGGUCCAGCACGUGUGCACCAUCGUGUCCUUCCGCUCUGCCAACCUGGUGGCUGCCACACUGGGUGCCAUCUUGAACCGCCUGCGUGAUAACAAGGGGACCCCCAGGCUGCGGACCACGGUUGGUGUGGACGGCUCUCUGUACAAGACGCACCCACAGUGAGUCUGCCUUUGCUGUACUUGUCUCUCAGAGUUUUGCAGCCAGUGAAAGGUUUUUUGUUUUUUAUUUUGCAGACAAGGCAUGUCUGGUUCUGGGCAAAGAGGUUAAAUUUGCCCUUUGGGGAGGCUCGCCCUUAGUGGAUUCUCUCUGGUGUUACCUCAAACGCCAUUAGUAUCUUUCCUUAUCUCUAGCUGCAGGGGCGCUGGGCGGAAUGUGUCUGUAGCUCAUCUGCAUUUCAUCAGGAGGAACUUCAUCCUUCUUGUAGUUUAGGUUGUAGGUACGCCACCCAUAUUCUUGUUUCAGAAACUCCUGAUAAAAUUCCCCAGCUCCUUGGCCAUUCCUUUUUUAAGUGAGGAACUUGUCACUUGAGACCAGAGAGAUAUUAAGUAAAUGGUCCCCACUUGCUGCUUUCUUGUCUGUUGGCUGCCUUGGCCAGUCUCCGCUCCAUGGCCAACCUUAGCUUCCAGAGCCUACUAGGUCACUAAGGACAUGACUUGAGCCAGGCGUGGUGGUGCACGCUUAUAUUCCCAGCGACUCGGGAGGCUGAGGCAGGAGGAUCUCAAGUUUAAAGCCAGCCUCAGCAAUUUAGCAAGACUCUAAACAAUUUAAUGAAACUCGGUCUCAAAAAAAUAAUAAAUGAAUAAAAGGGCUGGGGAUGUGGCUCAGUGGUUAAGCACCCCUGGGUUCCAUCCCUGGUAGCAAAGACAAAUUUUAAUUAUUUGUUUGGUAAGUUUUAAGAAUGGACUGCCUAUGGCAUGGGUUUUGUAUACAGGACCGCAGGUAGUUUCCCACUGUGCAUGUAUUUCACACAAAGUGUAUAUUUCACACAAAGUGAUACUGUAUCAGAUACUGUGCCUUCACAUGGUGCUGGUGAGCAUUGGCCCUGAACUCCUGGGCUCCAGUGAUCCGCCUGCCUUGAGACCCCGGGAUUAGAGGCACACACCGGCGCACCAGCUUUUUCUUUGGAAUUUCUUGGCUAAUUUUUGGACAAGAGACCAGGCAUGGUGGUGCAUGCCUGUAAUCCCAGCAGCUUGGGAGACUGAGGCAGGAGGAUCACAAGUUCAAAGUCAGCCUCAGCAAUUUAUUGGGGCCCUAAGCAACUUAGCGAGACCCUGUCUCAAAAUAAAAAAUAAAAAGGGUUGGGGAUGUGGUUCAGUGGUUAAGUGCCCCUGGGUUUAAUUCCCAGUACCCCCCACCCCACCCCUGAAAAAAUUUUCUGGACAAGAAAGCCUAAGGGUUUGCAACGUCACAUGAUUUUGACUGUAGUAAAAAGUAUAUAACAUCAAACAGAUCAUUUAAUCAUCUUGAAACAUGCGGCAUGUUUCAUGAGUUUAUUCUUUUUUUUUUUAAGAGAGAGAGAAAUUUUUAAUAUUUAUUUUUUAGUUUUCGGUGGACACAUCUUUAUUUUAUUUUUAUGUGGUGCUAAGGAUCGAACCCAGCGCCCAGCGCAUGCCAGGCCAGCGCGCUACCGCUUGAGCCGCAUCCCCAGCCCAUGAGUUCAUUCUUAUUGUGCAACGAUCACCAUGAGCUGUAUCCAGAAACGUUUUUCCAUUGCAACUUCACAUUUUAAACAAUGACUUUAAUUCGGUUUUUGCAUCGUUUCUCAUUUCAGAAGUAAUAUUUACUCAGGAUGGAAAUUUGAGAUAGUUUAAAAAGUUGCAAAAAGAAUAGAAGCCCUUCUUCUUCUCUUCCGUUGGAGUCGACUGCUGUUAAUAUUUUGGGAAACCUUUUUUCCUCUUCCCCUUGGCAGCAGCCUCCACACUGCAGAGCGCAAGUUCUGUGUCUUACGCCAUCCUGUCUUCAAGGUCUUUUCCAGCCACUAAGAAUGUACAGGAUUUGGGAGUGGGGAUGGAGGGAAAGAAAGAGCCCAUGUGAAAAUAAAAAAAAAACAAGAGCGAUUAUUUAUUGAGUCCUUCCUCAGUGCCAGUGACUCACAUAAGCAUGUUGAUUACCUUAUUCAGUUUCCAACAGGACACUUUCACACAGAUCCGCAUUUACUCCAAGGUCAAGUUACUAGCUCAAGGUCACUUAUGCGGACAUGGUAGUGCUCACCCUUGUUUUCAGAUCUGACUUUGAAGCACAGUGCUUUGACUAGCAAGGUGGUCUCCUUGACAUGGUGGAGGACAACAUCUCUGGACUUUGAAUUUUUUGUAUUCAUUACUUAUAAAAUAAUGAGGAUCUUUUUAUGGGUGAUUGUGGGCAACUUUGUUUUUCUUUUUUCACACAGAUGAUUAAACCCAGGGUCUAGCACGUGUUAAGCAAGUGCUGACCUACAGCCCUGAUCCUUUUUAUUUUUCAUGUUGAGACAGGGUCUGGCCAAGUUGCUGAGGCUGUUCUUCAACUUGUGAUCCUCCUGCCUCAGCCUCCCAAGUAGCUGAGAUUAAAGAUACGCACCACCAAACCUGGCUAUUUUUCCGUUUUCCUUGUCUGCAUUUGCUUUUUUUUCUACCAUGGAUGUAUAGGACUUGUGUAAUGAAAAAAGCAAGUGUAGAAAUGGAACUAGAGUGUGGUGAAAGAAAGGGGUACCAAGCCGGGCACAGUGGUGUACACCUGUAAUCCAGAGGCUCGGGAGGCUGAGACAGGAGAUUAGCGAGUUCAAAGUCAGCCUCGGCAAUUUAACAAGGUACUAAGCAACUCAGUGAGACACUGUCUCUAAAUAAAAUACAAAAUAGGGCUGUGGAUGUGGCUCAAUGGUUAAGCGUCCCUGAGUUCCAUCCCUGGUACCCCACCCCAUAAAAAAAGAAAGAAAAAUAAAGGGGUACCAGAGGACUGGGGAUAUAGCUCAGUUGGUAGAGUGCUUGCCUCACAUGCACAAGGCCUUGGGUUCAAUCCCCAGCACCACAAGAGGCCCCUGACCGGUGGCUCAGUCCAGCCAUCAUGGCACGCCCACUCCACUUUCUUCCCCAGGUAUUCUCGGCGUUUCCACAAGACCCUGAGGCGCCUGGUGCCCGACUCCGAUGUUCGUUUCCUCCUCUCGGAGAGUGGCAGUGGCAAGGGGGCCGCCAUGGUGACCGCAGUGGCCUACCGCUUGGCUGAGCAGCACCGGCAGAUAGAGGAGACCCUCGCCCACUUUCACCUCACCAAGGAGAUGUUGCUGGAGGUGAAGAGGAGGAUGCGGACCGAGAUGGAGAUGGGGCUGAGGAAGCAGACAAAUGACAAGGCUGUGGUCAAGAUGCUCCCCUCCUUUGUCCGGAGCACCCCAGAUGGGACCGGUGAGGGCCUGUUGGGACUGUCAGGUCCUCCUGCUCAUGACAGUGACCCCAUCACUGCAGAGCUGGGAUGGGGUGGAUCCUCCAGUGGAUGCGUUUGCACUAGUGAUGCCUGAUCUGGCAGGAGAGGGAAGCUCAUUCCGACUCUUCUCCAUUUUUACCACCAGCUUGUCCUGUGUGUGUGGCUCAGGGCUGCUAAAUCCCUCUGGCCCAACCUCCCGGUCCAGCACUGUCUCUAAAGCCAUGUUAGAAUUAGGGAGUUGGUUUCACCGUAGAAGGAAGCUGGGCCCUGAGGUUGUUCUAGGUUGGCUCACAAACAUGGCAAAGUGUCAGAAGAAUCAACACACAGUGCUGCCUUCCUCAGUCCCGGCAGGGUGUGUGUGAAGGAAGCAGGGUCCCUGGGCUUGUCACAUCUAGGCAGAUUGAAGAACACCAUCCAGUGCCCAAUGCCACCUCCAUGGUUCUUAUUGGAGCUGAGCUUUGUGCAGAAUCUGAAGAGCUUUGGGGUGGAUCCUCGGAAUAAUGCGUGUUUGUGAUAUGAAUAUCUUCUGUGUAAGUUACUUAUAUGCACUAAUGAUGCAUGAUUGGCCAGAGCAGGACACUUAGUGGCAUAAACGAGCAAGCAUUUAUUAUUGCUCACGAGUCUCUGUGUCAGCGGGAUGGUUCUGCUUCUCUGGUCCAGGCUUGGCUGACCUCUGCUGGACUCGUUCCUGAGCUGCAGUCAGCUGGACGGUCAGCUGGGAGGGUGACCUGCUGGGGUGCAGGGUGCUUGGCUGCGUGGGUCACCCUCCAGCAGGCUACUUACUGGGCUUGGGCUCUUCAGUGGCAGCAGCAGGGUCCACCUGGAGGCAGAAAAGGACUUUAAAGCCUCUUGGAGGCUGAGGUCAGGACCUGGCUCAGCAGUGCUUCUGCCGUAUUCUGUUGGACCCACGAUCCAAGGGGAGGAGAAACAGACCCCCAUCUUUUGGUGGGAAGGAUAGUGGCUACUUCUGCAAACACUCCACACGUUGACAUGAAUUAUUCAUUUUUGUAUGAAGUUCCCUAAAAUCAGGGCAUCGUUGCAAGUCUUUUUAAUAAGGCUUGUGAAGUUUAUUUGUUAUUGUGACAGGCAGUUCACUCCUGGGGCCUUUUGUCCUUGCAGUGUGACUCGGUGGCUGUGGGCAGUGAUUUAGUACCCACCCCUCCUCAGAGCCCACGCUGUGUACUGGUUGGGUGGUUCCAGCUCCCACCCCCCUACCCCUGUGUGCAACCUGGAGACCCUCCUCUUGCAAUUCUGGAGUCUAGGGCUUGCCAGCUGCCCAGAGGCACGUAGCAGUUUGUGGCAUUCUUUGUGUUCUUUACUCUUAACAGAGCAUGGUGACUUCUUGGCCCUGGAUCUUGGAGGAACGAAUUUCCGUGUCCUGCUGGUGAAAAUUCGUAGUGGGAAAAAGAGAACAGUGGAAAUGCACAAUAAAAUCUAUGCCAUUCCCCUUGAGAUCAUGCAGGGCACUGGGGAAGAGGUGAGUUGGAUCUGCUUUUUCAUGUCUGUAGU